UACGUAGGGUGCAAGCGUUAAUCGGAAUUACUGGGCGUAAAGGGAGCGUAGGCGGGUCGUUUAGUCAGAGGUGAAAUCCCGGGGCUCAACCUCGGAACUGCCUUUGAUACUGGCGACCUUGAGGAUGGGAGAGGUAGGCGGAACUCCGAGUGUAGAGGUGAAAUUCGUAGAUAUUCGGAAGAACACCAGUGGCGAAGGCGGCUUACUGGCCCAUUACUGACGCUGAGGCUCGAAAGCGUGGGGAGCAAACAGG
rnacentral:rRNA from 1 species